AGCGAACGCUGGCGGCAGGCCUAACACAUGCAAGUCGAACGAACUCUUCGGAGUUAGUGGCGGACGGGUGAGUAACACGGGGGAACAUGCCUUUUGGUUCGGAAUAACUCAGGGAAACUUGUGCUAAUACCGACUGUGCCCUUCGGGGGAAAGAUUUAUAGCCAUUAGAGCGGCCCGCGUCUGAUUAGCUAGUUGGUGAGGUAACGGGUCACCAAGGCGAGGAUCAGUAGCUGGUCUGAGAGGAUGACCAGCCACACUGGGACGAAGACACGGCCCAGACUCCUGGGGGAUGGAGCAGUGGGGGAUCCAGCGCAAUGGGGGGAAGGCUGACGCAGUCAUGCCGGGUGAAUGAUGAAGGUCGUAGGAAAGUAAAAUUCUUUCACCGGUGACGAUAAUGACGGUACCCGGAGAAGAAGCCCCGGCUAACUUCGUG
rnacentral:rRNA from 1 species